GUGAAGAACGUAGCGAAAUGCGAUAACUAAUGUGAAUUGCAGAAUUCAGUGAAUCAUCGAGUCUUUGAACGCACAUUGCGCCCCCUGGUAUUCCGGGGGGCAUGCCUGUCCGAGCGUCAUUGCUGCCCUCAAGCACGGCUUGUGUGUUGGGCUCCGUCCCCCCGGGGACGGGCCCGAAAGGCAGCGGCGGCACCGAGUCCGGUCCUCGAGCGUAUGGGGCUUUGUCACCCGCUCUGUAGGCCCGGCCGGCGCCAGCCGACAACCCAUCAUCCUUUUCAGGUUGACCUCGGAUCAGGUAGGGAUACCCGCUGAACUUAAGCAUAUCAAUAAGCGGAGGA
rnacentral:misc_RNA from 1 species